AUUGAACGCUGGCAGCAUGCUUUACACAUGCAAGUCGAACGGUAACAGGCCUUCGGGUGCUGACGAGUGGCGAACGGGUGAGUAAUGCAUCGGAACGUGCCCAGAGGUGGGGGAUAACGCAGCGAAAGCUGUGCUAAUACCGCAUGUGAUCUGAGGAUGAAAGCGGGGGACCAAGCAGCAAUGUUUGGCCUCGCGCCUCUGGAGCGGCCGAUGUCAGAUUAGGUAGUUGGUGGGGUAAAGGCCUACCAAGCCGACGAUCUGUAGCUGGUCUGAGAGGACGACCAGCCACACUGGGACUGAGACACGGCCCAGACUCCUACGGGAGGCAGCAGUGGGGAAUUUUGGACAAUGGGCGCAAGCCUGAUCCAGCAAUGCCGCGUGCGGGAAGAAGGCCUUCGGGUUGUAAACCGCUUUUGUACGGAACGAAAAGGCUCUGGCUAAUACCUGGGGCUGAUGACGGUACCGUAAGAAUAAGCACCGGCUAACUACGUG
rnacentral:rRNA from 1 species